GACGGGGCCCGCACAAGCGGUGGAGCAUGUGGUUUAAUUCGAAGCAACGCGAAGAACCUUACCAGGUCUUGACAUCCCGAUGCUAUUUCUAGAGAUAGAAAGUUACUUCGGUACAUCGGUGACAGGUGGUGCAUGGUUGUCGUCAGCUCGUGUCGUGAGAUGUUGGGUUAAGGUCCCGCAACGAGCGCAACCCCUAUUGUUAGUUGCCAUCAUUCAGUUGGGCACUCUAGCGAGACUGCCGGUAAUAAACCGGAGGAAGGUGGGGAUGACGUCAAAUCAUCAUGCCCCUUAUGACCUGGGCUACACACGUGCUACAAUGGUUGGUACAACGAGUUGCGAGUCGGUGACGGCGAGCUAAUCUCUUAAAGCCAAUCUCAGUUCGGAUUGUAGGCUGCAACUCGCCUACAUGAAGUCGGAAUCGCUAGUAAUCGCGGAUCAGCACGCCGCGGUGAAUACGUUCCCGGGCCUU
rnacentral:rRNA from 1 species